rnacentral:sRNA from 1 species
AGCAGUACAGCCACGACUCGGCAGACCCAGGCAUCCUCGUGCUCCUGGCCUGCGGUACCAUAUCCAGCACCUGCGGCCAGAUAGCCAGUUACCCCCUGGCCCUGGUCCGGACCCGCAUGCAGGCACAAGGCUGGAGUACAGUGGCUCGAUUUCGGAUCACUGCAACCUCUGCCUCCCAGGUUCAAGCGAUUCUCCUGCUUCAGCCUCCAGAGUAGCUGGUAUUACAGCCGGUGGUCAUGCCAUGAGCAGCCUUAUGGAGAGGACCAUGUGG